AGGUCAUUCUGAGGCUUCCAAGUGGGCAUCACAGGGGCGACUGGACCCUAGAGCCCUUCAGCUCUGCCCCGCAUCCAGGGCCACCACCCUCACUAACAGGAAGAGCAGCCCAGGUCAGCCCAGUGGUGGCAGUGACUAACCCAAAUCCCCCAUCCUCCUCACAGUCCUUCUGUCCACAGAUAUGUAGUGAGGUCCUACUAUGUGCUGGGCACAGCUUCAGAGACACCUCCUAGUGAUGGGCGGCUUCUUCCCUGCCAGCCCUGAGGACUGAGACCUCGCUGGACCAGAGUGUAUUCAUGCCCAGCAGCUUUCCUCCCAGUCUGACGAGGAAGAGGAGGAGCCAUGAUGAGAAAACAGCCGACUGUGGGCCAGGCAAGCAGUACCGCCUCUAAUUCUCCCACCAACUCUAGGAGAUAGGUGCAAUGUGCCCAUUUUAUGGUUGAAGAAACUGAGGCUUUGAGAGGCGACAUCACUAGGCCAUUGAGAGGAACUCAGAACCUGGGCCAGAUGGUGCAGUGGUAAAGAACCCACCUGCCAAUGCAGGAGGUGCAAGAGAAGCAGUUAAGAUCCCUGCGUCGGCAAGCUCUCCUGGAGUAGGAAAUGACAACUUGCUCCAGUAUUCUCACCUGGAAAAUUCCAAGGACAAGCUACAGUCCAUGGGGUCACAGAGAGUCUGACAGAACUGAGCAACUGAGCACCAAGACUGGAGGAGAAGGUGAUCUGAGAGGUAGGAAGCACUAUCCUGUCCCAAUCCUAAUACAAAUACAAGUCAAUGUUUGCAGAACUUGCUACUAAUCAGCUACUUGACUUAGAUUAACUGUGGAAUCCUCACAAUCACCCAGCAAAGAAGAUGCUGCCAACACCCCCAUUUUAUGGCUGAAGAAACUAAAAUUCAGAGAGUCAAGGGGGACUCCCUCACCCUGAGCUGAAAAGCAGAAGAGCAUAAUUUGAGCCUGAACCAUCUAAAUAUUCCAGGUCCCUGUUCCUACUACAUCAUGACUGCUCCCACAUGAAAUCUCUAUGGUUGGCUGGCAGAGCAGGGGGUGGCCAGGCUGAGAGAUGUGCCUGGCUCAUUGGACCCUGGCACAUAGUAAG
ensembl:lncRNA